rnacentral:rRNA from 1 species
GUGUCAGCAGCCGCGGUAACACGUAGGAGGCAAGCGUUAUCCGGAUUUACUGGGCGUAAAGCGCGUGCAGGCGGUUUGGUAAGUUGGGUGUGAAAUCUCCUGGCUCAACUGGGAGAGGUCGUUCAAUACUACCAGACUUGAGAGCGGUAGAGGAAGGUGGAAUUCCCGGUGUAGUGGUGAAAUGCGUAGAUAUCGGGAGGAACACCAGUGGCGAAGGCGACCUUCUGGACCGUUUCUGACGCUCAGACGCGAAAGCUAGGGUAGCAAACGGGAUUAGAGACCCCGGUAGUCCUAGCUGUAAACGAUGUGAACUAGGCGUCGGUGGGUUAAUAGCCAUCGGUGCCGCAGCUAACGCGUUAAGUUCACCGCCUGGGGACUACGACCGCAAGGUUAAAACUUAAAUGAAUUGGCGGGG